UGGUAUCCGAUGAUAGAUAAAUCCAGUA
rnacentral:sRNA from 1 species